GUAAAAUAUGGAAGUAACGUCAGUCUAUUUCUUAUUAAGAGCUAGCAGUUCUCUUUGUCAGCAGUGUCCAUGUCCUCAACCUCUUGUGUAAUCUGGGGGAGAUUUCCACUGCUGCCUCCCAGACUGAUACUGGAGGAGGUGGAGCUGGAACUCAAGCCGGAGUCUGGCACCGGAGAGGACUGGUAUUCCCGCAGAAAGUCAAAGCCACCUGCCAGCAGAAAGGGAGGAGAUAAAGAUGGAAUGCAGUGUUGGGCCAGUGUUACAGAUGAACGCAUCCACAAGAGCAGAUUUUUUCCGAGCUUCUGUGGGGAAACAUGGGAGAAACCUGCAGAACAUAACAGCCCUCAAAGAAUGACGAGACUGAAAAUGGCAUUGUUUUUAACUGUGCAGAAUCCAUUGCAAAAUGAAGAAUAUCAAAAACAAGACAGUUUUCUCUUUCACUGCUCAAGGACUACAACACUUGAAAAACAAAUGUUUCAUGGCAUUUACAUUUGGAACUAUGCCUUUUUGUAGAACUAAUUUUGAAGUUAGCUACGUACAUGAAAAAUUCAGCUCAUUUCCCUGGGCUAGCUGGACACUGUAAAGCAAUCUGUAGGAUGGACUUCUUAGGACAAUUAUAUUGUCCCAGUGUUAC
rnacentral:lncRNA from 1 species